rnacentral:rRNA from 1 species
GAUGAACGCUGGCGGCGUGCCUAAUACAUGCAAGUCGAGCGAACAGACGAGGAGCUUGCUCCUCUGACGUUAGCGGAGGACGGGUGAGUAACACGUGGAUACCCUACCUAUAAGACUGGGAUAACUACGGGAAACCGGAGCUAAUACCGGAUAAUAUAUUGAACCGCAUGGGUCAAUAGUGAAAGACGGUGUUGCUGUCACUUAUAGCUGCAUCCGCGCCGGAUGAGCUAGUUGGUAAGGUAACGGCUUACCACGGCAACGAUGCGUAGCCGACCUGAGAGGGGGAUCGGCGACACUGGAGCUGAGACACGGUCCAGGCUCCUACGGGAGGCAGCAGUAGGGUAUCGUCCGCAGUGGUCGGGAGCCUGGCGGAGCAACGGCGCGUGAGUGAUGGAGGUGUUCGGAGCGUAAAACUCUGUUACUAGGGAAGAACAAAUGUGUAAGUAACUAUGCACGGCUUGACGGUACCUAAUCAGAAAGCAACGGCUAACUACGUG